UCCCUCAUGGCUCAGCUGGUAAAGAAUCCGCCUGCAAUGCAGGAGACCUGGGUUCGAUCCCCGGGUUGGGGAG
rfam:TPA: Bos taurus chromosome 16, whole genome shotgun sequence.